rnacentral:antisense_RNA from 1 species
UCAAAACCAGCCCUAACAAUUUUUAUACAACUUUUAAAUAAAAACAGUGGAAAAUACAAUAAAUAAGUCCUCUAAAUAAAGCUGUCGUAUAAAGUUUAAAUUCCCCAAGUCAGAAGUCAAUUGGAUGUCUCUGUCUGAGCUGAGAGCACAUGACAUACAACAAAACCACAUGGACAGACACAACCCCAAAUUACAAUUCCAGUGUCCUGUGCACAGUGAUGGCCAUACUGUUAAAAGCAUUUUAACUCUUGUUUUUACAAACUUUCUUUUUACAUAUAUGUUAGCGGUCAAAGAACUCUGUUUUUCUUGGUCCAAACCAGAGGAAAUUUAUUGUCCAAACCAGAGGAAAUUAAGAACCCACCCCAAUGCAUUUGCCUCUGAUGUGAGAGAAACACCAGGGCUUCAACCAGAUGAGGGGCAUUUAGGAAAACCCACAGCUAAGGUCACAUUCAAUGCAGAACACUGGGCACCUCCCCCUAAGGUCAGGAACAAGACGAGGGUGUCCGCUCUUAUCCCUUUUUAGCCUCGGCACUGAUGGUCCUACGGGAACUCCAUGUUGACGCCUCUGAGGAACUGCCGGGCUGCAGUGAAUCCAGAUGACCUCACAGAAACUCGUAUGUGAGCAUUCACAGUGGCAUCAUUCACAGUGGCCAGGAGGUGGAAACAACCCCGAUGUCCAUCAACUGAUGAACCAACGGAUGAACAGUGUGACCUGUUCAUGCAGUGGGGUCUCAGCCACAGCGGGAGCAAGGCGCCGAAACCCGCAGCGGGAGCAAGGCGCUGAAACAGGCCAUGACACAGACAAGCCACACCAUGGAUGACCCCACGGACACGCCACCAAAGCACCAUCAUGCUGAGUGACAGAAGCCAGGCACCCAGACCAUGCACCGUAUGAUUCCUUUCACGUGAAAUUUCCAGAACAGGGAAAUCCAGAGAGACAGAAAGCAGGUUAGAGGUUCCAGGGUUAGGGGUUGGGGAGCGGGGAGAGACUACUUAACAGGCACAGAGACUUGUUUUGGGGUGAUGAAAAUGUUCUAAAACUGACUAUGGCAUUGGCUGCACAACUCUGUGAACACACUAAAAAACACUGGAUUGGACAACUUAAAUGGUUGGAUGCUGAAUUAGGUCUCAAUAAAGCUAAAAAAUAAGGUG